AAGAGUAGUUACAGUAUAAAGUGGAUGCCUUGGCUUGAAUAUCCGAUGAAGGACGUGCAAAUCUGCGAUAAGCUUGGAGGAGCUGAUAAGAUGCGUUAUUACUCCAAGAUUUCCGAAUGGGGGAACCUAAUAGUGGUAAUCACUAUUGCUAUAAUUUUAGCGGACACGAUGUGAAUUGAAAUAUCUUAGUAGCAUCGGACAAGAAAUCAAAUAUGAGAUUCCCUGAGUAGUGACGAGCGAAAUGGGAAGAGUUCAAACCUAUUGUAUGUAAGAGCAGGUCGUUGUACAGUAGGGGUUGUGGGAUUAAUAUAUGAGUUUCCUGAUAAAACUCAAUAUGCUUUAAUAUAUUAAAAGAAUGCAAUGCGAAAGUGCAGCCAUAGAGAGUGUAAGCCUCGUAUUAUAAGAUAUUUUAAAUCGUAUAUUUUAACUCCCGAGUAGGAUCAGGCACGUGAAACCUGGUCUGAAGCUGGGUAGACCAUUAUCCAAAACUAAAUAGUAUUCAAGACCGAUAGUGAACUAGUACCAUGAGGGAAAGGUGAAAAGAACCCCGGGAGGGGAGUGAAAUAGACCCUGAAACUUUAUACUUUCAAUGAGUGGGAGCCUUAGGGUGACCAUGUACUUUUUGGAGAAGGGAUCAACGACUUAGUGUGUAUGGCGAGGUUAAGAGAGUGAAACUCGUAGCCGUAGUGAAAGCGAGCCUGAAUAGGGCGUUUAGUCAUACAUACUAGACCCGAAACUGGGUGAGCUUCCCAUGAGCAGGUUGAAGUAAGGGUAAAACUUUAUGGAGGACCGAACCAUUUGGAGCUGCAAGUCCAUUGGAUGACUUGUGGGAAGGAGUGAAAAGCUAAUCGAACUCAGAGAUAGCUGGUUCUCCGCGAAAUAGCUUUAGGGCUAGCCUUGGUUAAUUAUUAUGUGGGGGUAGGGCUCUGAUAGGGCUAGCGGGUCGCAAGACUUAGUAAACCCUGAUAAACUUCGAAUACCACAUAAAACUAUUCCAGGAGUCGGACAGUGAGAGAUAAGUCCCAUUGUCAAGAGGAAAACAGUCCAGACUACUAUCUAAGGUCCCAAAUUAAUAACUAAGUGGAAAAGGAUGUGAGGUUGCUGAGACAACCAGGAUGUUGGCUUAGAAGCAGCCACUCAUUUAAAGAGUGCGUAAUAGCUCACUGGUCAAGCGACCUUGCGCCGAAGAUUCAACGGGGCUAAGUUAUUAACCGAAGAUGUAGAUUCAUACUUUUUGUAUGUCUGGUAGCGGAGCGUUCUGUAUGCCGUGAAGGUGUGGGGUGACCCUAACUGGAGGUAUCAGAAGUGAAAAUGUUGAUAUAAGUAACGUAAAUGAAAUGAAAACUUUCAUCGCCGAAUACCCAAGGUUUCCUACGCAACGGCAAUCGACGUAGGGUUAGUCGGUCCUAAGGUGUAGCUGAAAGGCAAAGCUGAUGGAUAUCAGGUUAAUAUUCCUGAACUAUGCAUAAGAGUGAUGGGGGGACACAUCGGGAUAUAGAUCACAGCUGAUGGAUGCUGUUAUGAAAACAAAUCUUAGGUUAUAGGUAAAUCCGUAAUCUUUUAAGGAUGAGUUAAGUUAAUUUAAAGAUUUGCCUCACGGUAAAUUCUUUAAAGGGAUCUACUAUAUUCUGGUGUCGAGAAAAGCCUCUAAACUUAUCUUAUGUGUAACCGUACCGCAAACUAACACUAGUGGGUUAGUGGAGAACACUAAGGCGUUCGAGAAAACCAUGCUUAAGGAACUCGGCAAAACAGCGGUCGUAACUUCGGGAUAAGACCUGCCAAUAUUUUAAUUUAGAAUAUUGGCCGCAGCUAAAGAGCUCAGGCGACUGUUUACCAAAAACACAGCUCUCUGCAAACUCGUAAGAGGAUGUAUAGGGGGUGAUGCCUGCCCAGUGCCAGAAGGUCACGUGGAUUUGUGCAAGCAAUGAAACUAAGCCCUGGUGAACGGCGGCCGUAACUAUAACGGUCCUAAGGUAGCGAAAUUCCUUGUCGGGUAAGUUCCGACCCGCACGAACGGCAUAACGGUCUGAGCACUGUCUCAAGCAUGGACUCGGUGAAAUUGCAAUGUCGGUAAAAAUGCCGACUACCUGUAGCAAGACGGAAAGACCCUAUGGAGCUUUACUAUAACUUGGCAUUGGGUUAUAUUUUAAUAUGUGCAGGAUAGGUGGGAAACUAUGAAGUGGAGACGUUAGUUUUCAUGGAGUUGUCCUUGAGAUACCACCCUUGUUAAAAUGUAAUUCUAACCCGUAAUUCGGGGACAGUGUUUGGUGGGUAGUUUAACUGGGGCGGUUGCCUCCUAAAGAGUAACGGAGGCGCACAAUGGUUAGCUAGGUUCGGAUGGAAAUCGAACUGAUAGUGUAUUCGCAUAAGCUAGCUUGACUGAAAGACUUACAAGUCGACCAGACACGAAAGUGGGUGAAAGUGAUCCGGCAAUAAAGAAUGGAAUUGUUGUCGCUCAACGGAUAAAAGUUACCCUAGGGAUAACAGGCUGAUUGCGUCCAAGAGUUCAUAUCGACGACGCAGUUUGGCACCUCGAUGUCGGCUCGUCUCAUCCUGGGGCUGGAGAAGGUCCCAAGGGUAUGGCUGUUCGCCAUUUAAAGAGGUACGCGAGCUGGGUUCAAAACGUCGUGAGACAGUUUGGCCACUAUCUGCUAUAGGCGCUUAGGAAUUUGAGAAGAUUUGCUCCUAGUACGAGAGGACCGGAGUGAACGAACCUCUGGUGGAUCGGUUGUCAGGCCUACUGGCACUGCCGAGUAGCUAAGUUCGGAAGGAAUAACCACUGAAAGCAUCUAAGUGGGAAGUCUACUUCAAGAUUAGAUUCCUCUAGCUAUAAGCUAAUAAGUCCCCUUGGAGACUACGAGGUUGAUAGGUUUCAGGUGUAAGUCUAGAGAUAGAUUGAGCCGAGAAAUACUAAUAGGACGAAUGCUUUU
rnacentral:rRNA from 1 species